ACAUGAGCUGAGCAGAUUGGAUAUAUGUAUUAACUCUGUGAAAAGACUCCCUGACACACACUGUUAUUCUUGUUUGGUGGGAGGAAUGGUUCUGUUACCUACUCACCCUUUCCCUCUGCAAUUUCACACUGUAAACUAUUGCUUUGGACCUAUGAAGACAUGGCUGCUGCAUCCUGUCAUCAUGUCUGUCUGCCUGUGAUUUUCUCUUGAGUCAGAAUUCAGCAUCGGAAGUAUCAUUCUGGGACCCGGGAAGAUGGUGGCGAAGGGAGUGCAUCACCAACAUGUACCGCGUCACUGUGCGGGAGAAAGACGAGUUAGAACGGCUAAAAGCUAUCUUGUUAGGAAUUUCCAGCAAAAUUGGGGUGCUCCAAAACCUAGAGGAAGGAUUUCCAUCGCACGAGGAUCAGCUACGGGGGCUCAAUCGCGAGCGAUUUGCCCGCACGGAGGGUCACGCUGCUUAUUCAGCAAAUCGCCCCGCAGCUAGAGUCUGCAGCGCACGCUGGGAAACGUCGAGAUAGCAACGCAAAGAUACAGCGCUGCGGAUUCUGCGGACUCCUGCCAGCUGUGCAAUUACUGUACUCAGUACUGAAUUCUGGGUUUGAGACGGGGGAAGGAAGCGGUCCAAUUCGGUUCUCCACACUGGUCAGACCAAAGAGGAAGCCAGCGGCCACCAUCUUGGAGAGCUGAUGUCACCAUCCCUGUUUUCGACUGAUCGCAGCUCAUUCAGCUAUAGAACAGGUAAUUUCAGGCUGCUGUUCGCCUGUGUCUCGCAGAUAAAUUACUCAGGCUCAGUGCUAAAGAACCCGCAGAAACUGCUUCUUGGAGCCUGCUCCUAUCAGAACAUACACCGAGCCCGGAGCGGCCGAAUUCCGGCUCCCGGAACUACUCUGGCCCAGGGCUAAAGAACCUGGGGAAACUGCUUCUCGGUCCCGGUCCUGCUGAAUACUGUGGAGGUAAAUACCAACCGAGCCUUCAUAGGCAGUGGCAACAGGAUUGAGACGGGGCUUGUGAGGGCCGGUCAGGACUCACCCGUUGCUUUGGUCACCCGGCAAAGGAAAUGAAAUGCUGCCAUUUGCAUGGGAUACCAACAUGGCAGAGAUCUGAUGUCAUCAGAAGGCGGUGGAGGAGAUAACUUCAUUGAUACCAGCGGCAACAGAUAGUUGGUCUCCUGGUAAAGAAAGUGAGUCACAUACACCCGAUUCUCUCUCACUUUGUCAUCAAGCCAGAGGGGCAGAGCAGAGCCGCCGUCUGCACCCAGAACAGGCCCAGCGACCCGCCGGCGAGGUAGUCACGUCACCCCAAUUGGAGUAGGGGCAGAGCAGAGCCACCGCCCGCGCCCGCAAGGUAGGCUGCGUCUGACCUGCGGAUCAGGCCUAGCGGCCUGCCGGUGUGGUAGACACGUCACCACAAAUGGAGUAGAGGCAGAGCAGAGCCUUCGCCCGCGCCCAGAACAGGCCCAGCGGCCCGCUGGCGUGGUAGUCAGGACACCCCAGUUGGAGUAGGGGCAGAGCAGAGCCGCCGCCCGUGCCUACAAGGUAGGCAGACCUGCAUCCGACCGGCAGAACAGGCCCAGCGGCCCAUCAGUGUGGUAGACAGAUCACCCCAAUUGGAGGAGGAGCACAGCCGCCGCCCGCCCCUGCAAGGGAGGCUUUUCCAGCUACAUGGUCAUUCAAAGGACACUCAGCAUGACCAUGAGUUAAUUCUUCAGGAAGAAAACAUCAACCCUAGACACCAAGCUCUGCAUAAAUUGAGAAAAAUCACAUAAUAUUCAAUAAGCUUAAAUAUUUCACAAUUUUGAAAACUUUCAACGUUCUUUCUUUCUGAUUUUCUUUAGAUACAAGUGGAGACAUUCUCAUCUCACAAUUUGCAGCAAACAUCAUCAAGAAAAGAGGAAAUACAGCAUUUCUUGAAUGCCAAAUGAAAACAAACACCAGAAGGAAUAAUGCAUAUAUGCACUGGUACCCACAAAAGCCAGACCAGCCUCUAAAACUAAUUCUGUAUAUUUCAUCAAAUGAACAUUUUAUUCAUGAGCGAGGUGUUAAUGGGGACAGAUAUGAAGCAAAGAAAUAGCAGAAUAACUUGAUCUUCAGCUUCAGAAUACACCGAGUAGCUCAGGAGGAUGAGGGAAUAUACUACUGUGCCUGUUGGGAUGCACUCUGUCAAAAUGCUGCCCCUUCACUUUGCAAAAUCCCUCCCAGGUGGUCCCACAUGUGCACACCUCAUUCUUUCCAGCUUCCAGAGAGGCCUGACCACUAUCCACAGAAUAUCUUCCUCCUGCUCAUAUGUCCUGGGCAAGGUCUCAGCAGAAGCCCAAGAGGCCAGGCUGUGACGAUUCCUCAUUAGGAGCUGCAUGGUCUUCCUCACCCUCUGGCCCUGGGCUGGCUCUAUGGAGACACUGAAAUAAAUGUCUACCUUUUUCCAGAAGUCCAUCGCAUAUCAGUGGCAAGCUGUCUGGUGUCCAUUCAAGAAUGCCAGUGUGCACUGGUAUUAACUGACAGAAGGAGAGCCCCUGAAGCAGAUCCUUUAUGGCUCAGCUAAAACUUAUAAUUAAGAUAAGCCCAACCCCUGCAUGGAGACAAUUAAAAGAGAAAAUGAUCUAUUUUAAUUGAUAAUCAAUAAUGCUGCUAGCAAGCCAAAUACCACUGUGCCUGCUGGGACCUCACAAUGUCAUAUUCACAAGGGGCCUGAAUGAGAACCUUCUUAUUAUGACCCCUCAGCUGCAUUCAUAUUUGAGCAACCACACAUUCUCCCCAAUGCUGUCAUUCACAGGUUCACAAGUUUUGGAACAGGAGGGUCCUUGGGACACAUUUAGCUCUGUUUCAGUUAGCUUUUUCAGUGCUGUGAUUAACAGACUGACCAGAACAAUUUUAGAGGAGAAAAGUUUGUUUGGGGCUCAUGGUCAGAGGUCUCUGUUGGUAGACAGCUGGUUUCAUUCCUUGGGGCUCAAGGUAAGGCAGAACAUCAUGGUAGAAGAGUGUGGUGGAGGGAAGUGGCUCACAUGAUGAUCAGAAGGAAGAGAGAGAG